rnacentral:rRNA from 1 species
CUCAAUUUGAAAUCUGGCCUUUCGGGGUCGAGUUGUAAUUUGUAGAGGGUGUUUCGGGCGCGAUGCCGGUCUAAGUUCCUUGGAACAGGACGUCGCAGAGGGUGAGAAUCCCGUACGCGACCGGCGAUCAAGCCCGUGUGAAGCCCCUUCGACGAGUCGAGUUGUUUGGGAAUGCAGCUCAAAAUGGGUGGUAAAUUUCAUCUAAAGCUAAAUAUUGGCCAGAGACCGAUAGCGGACAAGUAGAGUGAUCGAAAGAUGAAAAGCACUUUGGAAAGAGAGUCAAACAGUACGUGAAAUUGUUGAAAGGGAAGCGCUUGCAAUCAGACCGGUCCGGAGGCGAUCAGCCGCUGCUCGUUCAGCGGUGCACUCGCCUGCGAUCCGGCCAGCAUCGGUUUGGGCGGUGGGAUAAAAGUCCCGGGAAUGUAGCUUCUCUCGGGGAGUCUUAUAGCCCGGGUCGCAAUGCCGCCCGCCCGGACCGAGGACCGCGCUUCGGCUAGGAUGCUGG